rnacentral:rRNA from 1 species
CUGUGAGGAUGAAGCUGUGUAAUGGGCUUCUGAACGUGGAAUUCCUAGUAAGAAUGAUUGAACAAGUUAUUUUGAAUGUGUCCCUGUCCUUUGUACACACCGCCCGUCGCUAUCUAAGAUGACGCAGUGGCACGAAGAUUGAGAGGUCUGAGUCUUUCGUGUUAGAUAAGAUAUAAGUCGUAACAUGGCUGCUGUUGAGAACCAGCAGCAGGAUCAGUA